rnacentral:tRNA from 1 species
UCCCUGAUGGCUCAGACGGUAAAGCGUCUGCCUACAAUGCAGGAGACCAGGGUUCAAUCCCUGGGUUGGGAA